rnacentral:rRNA from 1 species
UGGGGAAUUUUGGACAAUGGGCGAAAGCCUGAUCCAGCCAUGCCGCGUGCAGGAUGAAGGCCUUCGGGUUGUAAACUGCUUUUGUACGGAACGAAAAGACUCUGGUUAAUACCUGGGGUCCAUGACGGUACCGUAAGAAUAAGCACCGGCUAACUACGUGCCAGCAGCCGCGGUAAUACGUAGGGUGCAAGCGUUAAUCGGAAUUACUGGGCGUAAAGCGUGCGCAGGCGGUUAUAUAAGACAGAUGUGAAAUCCCCGGGCUCAACCUGGGAACUGCAUUUGUGACUGUAUAGCUAGAGUACGGCAGAGGGGGAUGGAAUUCCGCGUGUAGCAGUGAAAUGCGUAGAUAUGCGGAGGAACACCGAUGGCGAAGGCAAUCCCCUGGGCCUGUACUGACGCUCAUGCACGAAAAGCGUGGGGAGCAAACAGGAUUAGAUACCCUGGUAGUCCACGCCCUAAACGAUGUCAACUGGGUUGUUGGGUCUUUCACUGACUCAGUAACGAAGCUAACGCGUGAAGUUGACCGCCUGGGGAGUACGGCCGCAAGGUUGAAACUUAAAUGAAUUGACGGGGUCAUAGCUGUUUCCU